AAGAAACCCAUCAUUGUUAUGGGACCUUAAAAGAUCGAUAAGUACAUACAGGUGUAUUCUGAAAAUGUCAACACCAGUAGACAUUUUAUUUUGUCUUGAUACAAAAUGGCCGCUAUAUGUAUGAGGCUCAUAUGCUCCUUCCUAGUUUUUAACUUCAAACAAUUGAAUCUAAUUAUAUGAACUAAUACAUUUUAGAAACAUUUGCUAGUAUGAAUAUAAUUACACAGAAGAUUAAUAAAAUGAUGUGUUGAAUGCAAAUUUCUUGUUGAAAUGGAAGGAUGGGGGCUAUGAAGUAUUUA